UACGGGGGGAGCAAGCGUUGUUCGGAAUUACUGGGCGUAAAGGGCUCGUAGGCGGCCAACUAAGUCGGAUGUGAAAUCCCCAGGCUUAACCUGGGAACUGCAUCCGAUACUGGAUGGCUUGAAUCCGGGAGAGGGAUGCAGAAUUCCAGGUGUAGCGGUGAAAUGCGUAGAUAUCUGGAGGAACACCGGUGGCGAAGGCGGCAUCCUGGACCAACACUGACACUGAUGAGCGAAAGCCAGGGGAGCAAACGGG
rnacentral:rRNA from 1 species